ACUCCUACGGGAGGCAGCAGUGGGGAAUAUUGCACAAUGGGCGCAAGCCUGAUGCAGCCAUGCCGCGUGUGUGAAGAAGGCCUCGGUUGUAAUGUCAGUCUUUCCAUGUCGUGAGGAAGGAUGAGUGUAGUUAAUAGCUGCAUUAUUUGACGUUAGCGACAGAAGAAGCACCGGCUAACUCCGUGCCAGCAGCCGCGGUAAUACGGAGGGUGCGAGCGUUAAUCGGAAUUACUGGGCGUAAAGCGCAUGCAGGUGGCUUG
rnacentral:rRNA from 1 species